CUAAAGGCUCUUUUCAGAGCCACCCACGUUGUCGCUGAGAGCAGCU
rfam:Oryctolagus cuniculus chromosome 13, whole genome shotgun sequence.